CGCGGAGUAGAGCAGAGGUAGCUCGUCGGGCUCAUAACCCGGAGGUCGCAGGUUCGAUCCCUGUCUCCGCAACCA
rnacentral:tRNA from 1 species